GCCCGGUUAGCUCAAUUGGCAGAGCGUGGGACUGUACGUGCUGUCUGAUUGGUUGUUUUCUCGAAACCAUGCUAACUCAUACCCGUAGUUUAAGCCUGAAAAUCCCAAGGUUGCGAGUUCGAUCCUCGCAUCGGGCG
rnacentral:tRNA from 1 species